rnacentral:misc_RNA from 1 species
AAUUCUGUCAAAACAUGCACUUGAGUGUGUUUUGGAUUAUGGGAGUGUCUGCUGGCUUGUUUUAUAUGUGAGCCAGCUCUCCUGAAAGACAUUAGCUUUGGAGAGAUGUGCCAAGUCACUUCUGCCUUUCCAUUGGUGUGAUAGAUGAAUAACCUUAUCUACACCAGGAAAGCAGGUUGCAUGUGAAGCACAGUGAUCUCUCUGCUCUCUAAUUGACAUUUGUCUGAUA